AAAAGACUUGUGCGGCGGACGAGAGGCGGGUGUCUCCACCGCGGCUCACAAUCACGGCUCACUGUCCCGCGGUCCUGUGAAGCCUGAAGAGACGAAUUAAUUUAGCGCUGGGACUGGAACUAGUGUUCUAGUUUGUGUUUAUCACGGACUCUUUAGGGCGCUGCACACUCGCUCUCUCAGCACAUUCGCGCUCAGAAAGAAGCGCGAAUCGUUAAAGCAGACUAACGUGGAAACAGGUGAAGAGACGAAGACAUCAGCAGGAGGGAGGACGACCCCCCAGUGUGAGGACGACCCCCACCACAUGAAUGGGGGACAGGAGGCGCAGCUUCCAGCCCAGCCGUUUCCCAGCAUGCCUCAGCUGUGGAGCUGUAUGAGGGAGAGUUGUUUGUCCUGCUGCCCUGUGAGUUUCCCACUUUUGAACUGGACAGCCCCACAGUGGUGUGGAGUCGCUCCGACCUCAGUCCUCCAACCGUCCACCAGCUUCAAGGAGACAAACUGAAAGAUCCAAACCAGCGUUACAGCGGCCGAACAUCCAUGAAGACUGACGCUCUGGAAACUGGAGAGCUCAGCCUGAACCUGACCAACCUCCAACUGUCUGACAGCGCCACCUACACCUGCUCUGUCAGAUCAUUUAGACUGAGAAUGGAGACUGAGAGAUGUCCCACUGCAGGUCAAAGUUUACAAGGUGGAGGUGGAUUCAGGGGUGGAGUCUGUCCUGCUGCCUUGUAAAGCCACACUUCAGCUGCUUAAAGACGUUAGAGUGGAGUGGAAGGACAUGAAAGACAGGAAGGUCCACGUGUAUGAGAACAGCUCUGACAAGAAUAAAGAACAGGAUGAAGUUUACAGAAAUCGAACGAAGAUGAAUGAAGACCCGCUGACAACUGGAGACCUCAGUCUGAGCCUGAAACACCUACACCUGCACCAUUAGCAGGGAGGGAAACAUCCUGCUGAAGAAACAAGUGCUGCUUACUGUCAGAG
ensembl:lncRNA